rnacentral:lncRNA from 1 species
CUCUUCUUUGGGGGCCUAGCAGGCCUGGGUGCCUACCAGCUGUCUCAGGAUCCCAGGAAUGUGUGGGUUUUCCUAGCUACAUCUGGGACCUUGGCCGGCAUUAUGGGGAUGAGAGUCUACAACUCUGGGAAAUUUAUGCCUGCAGGGUUAAUCGCAGAAACCAGUUUGCUGAUGGUUGCCAAAGCUGGAAUUAGUCUGUUGAGUUCACCUCAUCCA